rnacentral:tRNA from 4 species
GCGGGUAUAGUUCACCGGUAGAAUGCGUCCUUGCCAAGGACGAGAAGGCGGUCCGAUUCCGCUUACCCGCUCCA